UUCGGGAAUGGGUCGCAAGGAAUAAGUUAGUCCUAAAUAUUUCCAAAACUAAAAACAUUGUAUUUGGGACAAGUCGUAAUGAAAUUGAGCAAGUUGAGGUGACUAAACUGCUUGGCGUAACCAUGGAUUAGUCUAAACAUAUUGAUACAACAGUAGCUAAAAUGGGGAGAAGUCUGUCCAUAAUAAAGCACUGCUCUGCCUUCUUAACAACACUAUCAACAAGGUAGGUCCUACAGGCCCUGGUUUUGUCGCUCCUGGGCCCUGUUUCAGAAAGCAUGUCUAACAAACUCUUGAGUUUAAACCUGAACUCUGAACUGUCAAACUCUUGGGUUUUCUUUUCAGAACAGCUGAUAACAAUUAGUUCAAUAAACUAUGUUAAAUUAACCCGGAGUAAAGCACGUGCAUGAGGAGAUAAAAAGCCCUCAUCAAUGGGACGCAGAUAACAUGAUUCAUCAUCACAACAGGAGAAAAAAAAAUAUCGAACCUCCUACUUAUCCCUAGUGGAGUUAGAAAUAUUAAUGAAUGCGUAUACAGAUUAUGAAUAUAUUGUAACGACCCUGGGUUCAUAAGCGCGGACAUCGACUGCCGCAGGAGCAUGCUUUUGCGGCACAGUCGAUAGCGCCAGACCUCUGGCUCGAAGGUCGGGGGUGACCUGCUUCCUGCUGUUUCAUUACAAAAUAUUUAAGAAAAAAGUAGCAACAGAAAAAUAACGUGAGCUGGCGUGGCAGAAAGUUGCUGACCGUGUCGAUGUGUGAGUAUUAAUUGAAAAAGACUCGUGUUCCACUUAUUCAACAUUUUAUAUAGUGUGCGUGCGUGUUAAAUAUUUAUGCAGGUGCAACCAAACAUGCAGAAAACGUACUUGGCAUCAACUGAAGAUGAAAUAUAAAACAUAUACUUCAAACGGCCAAUAGAAAAAAGGCUGAGGGCUGAAGAAAGGGUGGGGGUCCACCACCACUCCUGGGGCUAAAGAGAUGGCCCUCAGUCAACAGUGGGAGACUUAUUGCUAAAGGCAUCUCUGGAGGAACCUCAUCUGACCCAACCACCCCAAGGGUGGGCCUACAUAAGAGAUUCUUAGUUGUCCUUCAGACAUCAUAAUCUAUUUUAAGCUACUGAUGGUGUAAUCUGUCUGGUGGAGCCUUCUGCCAUAACAGACCUCCAUGCAGUUGAGAAUAAUGAAGACACCUUGUUAGCUGCCACAGAGAAGGAAGCUACAGAGAGGCCUAUUGAGAGCAAUGCUGGAAAUUACAAUGAGGAAGAGGGUCCAUCCACCUCCACAGUACAACUUACCUCAGUAAGAUGUUAUUCAGCAUUGGCCCAUGAUUUUACAAUGAAACUAAGUAGACCUGGCACUGUGAAAUUCAAUGUCACUUUUUUGUGUUCCUAUAGUUCCCUGUGAAACAGCUGUACUUUGAGAAACACAUUUAAAGAUGUAAUUUAGAAAUUGACCACAAGGCUGCAGAUGCAAGAACAUAGAAAUACAACAGCUGGAACAUCAGUUAAAGGUGGGUGAGGUGCCCACAGGUGGAUGAUUUUACUUGGUUGAACAACAUAAAUAUUAACUACUGUACUGCAUUUGCACUGGCAGGAACUGAAGACUCCUUCAUAAAAAGGAAGGCAUUGUCUUUGUUUGACACUGGGGAGGUGAUUGGUCAGUCAGAAAUGAUGGUAGCAUAUUGUCUCUUCCAUCUGGUGCUUCAGCGGGGUGGUCAGGCUCAUUAUCAGGAUCGUUCACUGGUUGAAUAGGACAUUGUUCUCUAAUUGUGGCAAUGUUGUGGAGAAUCACACUAAUGUCACAUGGCCUUUCUGGAGUGACCCUGAGAUUACGAAGGUACUGGAACUGGGCCUUGAGCAUCCCAAUGGUCAUCUCUACCAUGGCUCAUGUCCUGCAGUGAGCCAAGUUAUAAUGUUGCUGCGGGCCAGGAUCAGGGUAAGGGGUCAGCAAAUGGGCGUGGCAGGGGUUCCUUCAUGUCACUGAGCAGGUAACCAUCGAACACUCUUAUGAUAAUACGAGUAUACGGUUUACAUUUUCAGUUGCAAUAGGUGGAAAGAAAAUAA